rnacentral:lncRNA from 1 species
GAGAAGGCGUUUUAUCUAUUAAAACACAGAGAUAAUCUCGAGAAGCCGUGGGACAAAGGACAGUAGGGCGUAGGUUGCGUGUCUCAGGAAUUAACAUUUUGAAUGGAAUGGAACUGAAGACUCAGCAGCCUUGGAGCAGCUUUUAUGCUAAUUGAGGAAACUAAGAAUCUUCACCCUCAGCGUGAAAAAACCUCCAACGGACCAUAAAACCAAACGUGUAAAAGACACAGAAACUCAACUGGGAAAAAAGAACCCCCAAAAGCCGUUAGUUCAGUGACGAGCUGAGUAGUCUCCAGCCAAAGCUUCCAGGAGACCAUGAAUUUAAAACUAGCGGCCGCACAAAAUUUUAUUGAAAAUAAUGUCAGGAUCUGAGAUCUGUAAGAGGACUCUUCUGUGCAGACCAGAAGAGAGUAGCUCUCCCCAGCCCCUCAUGCAGCGAGAAAAUGUAUGCAGCUGAAGUAAACGGCCCUGCACAGCGUUGCCAGCCGUAUAACUCUUAACAACC